rnacentral:rRNA from 1 species
GGGUCAGUAGGUUGGUCGUGCCACCGGUACGUACUGGUCUCACUGAUUCCUCCUUCCUGAAGAACCGUAACGCCAUUAAUUUGGUGUUGCGGGGAAACAGGACUGUUACUUUGAAAAAAUUAGAGUGUUUAAAGCAAGCUAACGCUUGAAUACAUUAGCAUGGAAUAAUGAAAUAGGACGAUCGACCCUAUUUUGUUGGUUUCUAGGAUUGACGUA